GAUAUCAACUGAAAAAGUCAUCAACAACAAAGUUGAAUAACUCAUCAAGAUCUAAAACUUUUAUUUUGGUCAUUUCUUCAUACGACAAAGUGAUAGUAACAUUGUUCACAAAAUUGACAUAUCUCUUAUCUGGUUUAUAAACUAUAACACAUAUUUGUAAAAUUUGUGAAUAAUAUUACUAACAUUUCGUCGGAUGAAGAAAUAAUACAAGUAAAAGUUUUAGAUCUUGAUGAGUUAUUCAACUUUGUUGUUGAUGACUUUUUCAAUUGAAAUC
rnacentral:pre_miRNA from 1 species